AAAAUAUUCUCGCUAAAAAUAAACGCAAUUUCUACCCUACUCCUGGAGUACUGUGAGCAUGAUACUCCAAGGGUCAAACGAUGUUGUUCUAUUAUCUAUCCCUACCUUCUACUUUGUUUUCCCCUUUUUCUUCUUGCUAUACUUUGUUUCCUGUAUUUUUUUUUCAAUUUCAGUAAAUUUCUUCAUCCCUGUUUUCCUUUUUUCUUCCUGCUAUUUUUUUCCCUCUAUUUUAAUAAACAUAAGGCUGAAACUUUUUAUUUUUUUUUCCUUUUACUCCAACUUCUCGUUACUGUUCUAUUGCAUUUCUCUGUUUUUGGCUGUGCUUGGCUUGAAUCUAUUACAGUGAGGUAGAGAGAGAUAAUGAGGAUAUGGAGAGGGUCCAUGUGAUGGAAAGAGAGAAUGAUAGAAACCAUAAAUCAAAUAAGGUAUGAUCCUUUAAUUUAGGAACUGUUGGGGUAUUGGCUUCCAAUCGUCCGGUGACAUGAACAUCAUGUAUCAAUGUCAAUGAUAAAUAAUUCCUUAUUAUUUAAUCAUUUAACUAUGUAUGCAUAGAUUUUUCCUAUGAAGUGAUGAAAAAGGGUUGGAAGGAGAGUGUUGAGCUGAGCACAUUCGAUAGCUGAUCAUUUUGAUUGGGUUUCAGACAACUCAGCAGUCAGCAGGGCUGUGACCUGUUCUUUUAUUGAUGUAUAUAUGUUUCAGCCCUUUCAGGAGUGGAUGGAUGAUGCAGGGAGUUGGUUAUGAGGUUUUGUGUUCUUUUAGUCCCUGUGAAUUUAUGUGUUUCAUCUGAUCUUGCUUUCAGGGUGGAAAGAUUCGUGAUGUGCUUUUUGAAAUUCUUGAGAAUGAAGACGAUGUUGUUAUAAAGCAUGGUGCACAGUCUAGAGAGAGUCGACGUGCAGCUACACAAGGAAUGCACACAUCAAGGUUCUGCUUGCAUCCUGCUGGCGAUACUCCAUCCACUUGCCGUCUCUUUGAUGCCAUUGUAAGCCUGUGCAUUCCAGUUAUAAUCAGUGACCAUAUCGAAUUGCCUUUUGAAGAUGUCAUAGACUACAAGAAAAUCGCAAUAUUUGUAGAUACCAACUCAUCAGUGAAGUAUGGCUUUCUAGUUAAAUUACUCCGGACUGUUACUGAACCUAAAAUUUUGGAAUACCAGCAGGAGAUGAAGAAGGUUCUCGUCCAUAACGACGAACGUCUUCCUCCUCAGCUUCUCCAACGAUUUUCUAUCACAAUUUCUUUGCUGAUUUUCGAAUUUGGGUUCAGCAAUAGUGCUUCUAUUGAGGUUUAAAGGUAUGUAAUUUUAGAAUUAGGGUUCUUGUAAUUACCCCUUUUUUAAUUCAAUAACGGCCCUAAAAAUCGAAUUGAAUUUUGUUAGCUGAUUAAUUUCACAUCAAAUUGCCAAUGUGACAUGCCUUCUUUUCACCCUUUAAAACCAAUAGAGCCCAAAUUUAUUAAACAAAUGGAGUAGGAGUUAAAUUUGAUUAUAUAAUUUGGAAUUUUACUUUGAUAUUGCACCAUUAGAAUUUGUCGAAGUUUAUGAUGAUUUAAAACAUCUUUUCAAUUUGUCUUGGUACUUUUUGUUGAUUUGUUUAUUUGUUUAAUUUUCAUUUUUUACUGUUGGAUCAAUGGUUUGAUGGAUAAGGCUGAAUGUGACUCUUGAGAUGUAUAGGGAUAGGGAUAAUUAUAUGCUUGUUCUGGUAUCUGAUGCAUUAUUAGUUCUAAAUAUGCUAUAAUCUGGAUUACAGGGUUACUAAAGAUGAUCAUUUUUCUUUAUGUUCCUGAUCGAAUUAGUGUGCAUGCCUGCUUGGAUGUGUAAUUAUGCAAUCGUGGAAUGGUUAUAUGUGUCUGUCGUUGUAUUUAAUCAUGCAUAUUACUGAUGAUCUGUUUUUGAUUUGGAAUUUGAUACCAAAAUGUUUCCUGCAUAAUGCUCCGGUAUGUUCAUAUACAAAGGCUACUAAAUGAUAAUGUGGGCUACUCAUUCAUAAUUAAUUUAUUGUGAAAACAUAUUAGAACCAACACUUGUGGAAUUGUAAUAUAGUGACAGUUACUUGUCAAAUGAUGAUGUGAAAUCAAAGACGAGAAUCAAACAAAGGAAGAUAUAUAAUGAAAUGUUGUAGUCCCUACUAUUCUGUAAAUGUGAGUAACCACUAGUAAAUUGGACUAAUCAACUGAAGCUAGAAUUGCUUGGAAAUGGCUUCCUGAUCACAAGUGUAAUCCUAUGUGUAUAGUAUGUCUAGGUCCCUCUUACAUUCUUAGGUUGCAUUGGGCAGGAGCCUCUUCGUAUAUUGGGUUAAUGAUGAUGCCGAUAUUGAUGUUAAUGUUGCAGCGUUUUAUUCUAGAAAAUUCGAAGUAAAUUUGAGGUAACAUAUGUUGUAGCCUCUCCUUUUCUUGGUUGUUGAAGUUUCUUUUAAGUUUUCACGUGAAACUCUUGCUAGUCCAAUAGCAUAUUAUAGCAUUUUCAACUCACCGGCGGUGUGGCUAUGAAUUGCAAGUAAAUGAUGCUCAACCUUAAUUCAUGAAGUUUGUUUAGGGUGAAUAGGUUAGAAUCUCAAUAUCUUCCUAUAGUUUUUAACUUUUAUAUUGAUAGAUUGACAUGAAGAUUAACAUGAGCUGAAUUUCAGAACUGAAUUCAGAAAUGAAAAUCAGAACCGAAUUUUCGAACUAUAAAAGAAGGGGAAAAAAUACUUGAUAGCUCACAAUGCAGUGUGCACCUAGAAGUAUCUUUUAAAUAACAAUAGCCAACACUUCCAGAUUUUGAUAUUUUAUUGCUUGCAUAACCCCUUAAAGUUAUUGAUCAGUCGUACUUGUUCUCGGAGGAUCAGUUUGCUCGAUUAACUUCAGAAAGCUCGUUCUCCUUCGUUACGAGGUAUUUUUAGGUGGUUUUUUUUUUAAUUUGAGUGAAAUUUUGUCUACUUUCUUCCUGCAAAAUUUCAGAAUUUUUCGAGUUCUUUUGCUAUUAAACUGGACUGUUUUCCGCAACUGUGUCAGUUUUAGUCCGAGUUAAUAGUUAUUGCUGUUUGUGUGCGAUUUUGUUCCAAGUUGUGCUGCGAUUUUUGCUUUGUUUUGUGCGCAUAUUGUGUGUAUAAAUCAUGGCAGACGAGGCUAUAUUCAAUUCAUGAAUAGACUACUCAUUAUAUUCAAUUUAAUGGAAGUUUGAUUUUAAUUACUUGCUAGUGCAAACUCGGGUUUCAUAGUGAACCAGGAUUAAGAACAUCUACUUUUGAGAGGUACCCUUAUUUUAUUGCUUGUAUUCCGUCAUUAUCGAUUGGGACGAUUUGAUACCGGUGUCUGUAGAAGGAGAGAAGGUUGAUGUUAGGUGGCCUAAUUGGUUUGCUGCAGUUGCAGGGGAGGCUAUCAAAAGGUGGGUUUCGUGGUGGGUUGUUUCCUACUUUCCUUUGAGAAGAUGAAUAAGGUGUCGUGGAGUAUGUGGACCGGAGGUAGAAGUUUUGUCUUGGUUAGAGGUAAUGUCACUUGUAAUAUGGUUCCUAUUUUCUAUAUAGUUGGGAAUUCUUAUUGGGUUGCUUGUUUAGAUUCUACAUAAUUUGUAUAACAGGGGAAGGUAUAAUUUGUAUAAAUCAGGAACUGACCAUAAAACUAUGUAAAAUUGUUCUUGUCUAUGGCUUGAGUUUUGGCAUCCUAAAUUAUAAGGGUCUAACACA